CGGCGGCCGCAGGCCGGACACUCUGCGGCGUGCGGCACAGCGCCGCAGGAAAGG
ncrna:unclassified sequences M23 RNA